rnacentral:rRNA from 1 species
UACAGAGGUCUCAAGCGUUGUUCGGAUUCAUUGGGCGUAAAGGGCGCGUAGGUGGUAAGGCAAGUCGGGUGUGAAAGCUUGGGGCUUAACCCCGAAAGGGCACUCGAAACUGCGUUGCUAGAGGGCCGGAGAGGAGAUCGGAAUUCACGGUGUAGCAGUGAAAUGCGUAGAGCUCGUGAGGAAGACCGGUGGCGAAGGCGGAUCUCUGGACGGCCCCUGACGCUGAGGCGCGAAGGCUAGGGGAGCAAACGGG